AUACGUAGGGAGCGAGCGUUGUCCGGAAUUACUGGGCGUAAAGGGCGCGUAGGCGGCGCUUCAAGUCGUCUGUCAAAUGGGAGGGCUUAACCCUUUUUCGCAGACGAAACUGGAGAGCUUGAGAAGCAGAGAGGCAAACAGAAUUCCUGGUGUAGCGGUGAAAUGCGUAGAUAUCAGGAAGAAUACCAGUGGCGAAGGCGGUUUGCUGGCUGCAUACUGACGCUGAAGCGCGAAAGCCAGGGGAGCGAACGGGAUUAGAUACCCCGGUAGUCCUGGCAGUAAACGAUGUAUGCUGGGUGUGAGACUAGCGAUAGUUUCGUGCCGAAGCUAACGCGAUAAGCAUACCGCCUGGGGAGUACGGUCGCAAGGUUGAAACUCAAAUGAAUUGACGGGG
rnacentral:rRNA from 1 species